rnacentral:rRNA from 1 species
UGGGGAAUCUUGCACAAUGGGGGAAACCCUGAUGCAGCGACGCCGCGUGAGCGAUGAAGCCCUUCGGGGUGUAAAGCUCUUUCGACGGGAACGAUUAUGACGGUACCCGGAGAAGAAGCUGCGGCUAACUACGUGCCAGCAGCCGCGGUAAUACGUAGGCAGCAAGCGUUGUUCGGAGUUACUGGGCGUAAAGAGUGUGUAGGCGGUUUGCCAAGUCUGGUGUGAAAUCUCCCGGCUUAACUGGGAGGGUGCGCCGGAUACUGGCAGGCUAGAGUAUGGGAUAGGGAAGCGGAAUUCCUGGUGUAGCGGUGAAAUGCGUAGAUAUCAGGAGGAACACCGGUGGUGUAGACGGCUUCCUGGACCAUCACUGACGCUGAGACACGAAAGCGUGGGUAGCAAACAGGAUUAGAUACCCCCGUAGUCC